AGCUGGAGUUGGUGAGCAUCGGCACAACUGAAGACAACUCAGGACGAUUAAACUGUUCAAGGACUUUUCCACAAUGAUUCUCAAGAUCUGUUUCAUUCUGCUUCUGCUUGUCGCCAUUUCACAGAUAACAGAAGGGAAUUCAACCAUCACACCCACCACACCCACCACACCCCCAACCACAGCAAAAACCACAGCAAACAGCACAGCAGUCAUUAACAAAAUCAGCCUGACUUCUGUCACAAUGGCCGUCGUAGCUGCUGUGCUUCCAUAACAUAGUUACAGUUGUAACUAUGUUGUUACAACUAGCUUUUUUAACCAUGCAUUUGUCUGUGUAUUUUUCAUAUCCUAUCAAAGUGGGGAAGUUUCAAUAAGGGGAGGGAUGAUAAAUAAAAAGGGAUCUAAACUGUCUUUUGAACUCAUGUAAAUUAUCCAUUUUACUGUAUGCUUUCACAAGAUUGUGACUUUCUUUGUGGCAAAGGUCAACAAAUAAAAUGUUUACCAAUCAGAGGAAAUUGAUUCAAUCACACAUAUUAAGAUUUAUUGUGCUGACCAUCUAUUGUGAAAAUAGCUGUACCUAACCUGAUUUAUGGGAGAAUAUGUUAACUUCCUAACCAAUAAAUGACAAUAAUCACUUAAGUUUUGCUCUAUUUUGUGUAAUUCUGUCUGUUAACCAGCCUUUUUAUUUAUUCAGCAUCUUUGCACUCUGCCACUUUGCACAAUAAAUAUGACUGUGGCUGAUGUAUCUGUCAUGUUAUCAACUUUAUUAUGGACACUGAGAGCAAAGAAAA